GGCAGCAUUUAAAAGCAAACAAUUCAUUCUGUAAGUGAUAUUGUGUUGCUUGGGAUAUUAAUACAAAUCUAAAAAGCUUCUAUUUAUUGUCUUACUUAGGAAAUCCAAUCACUCACCCAACAAAUAUUUAUUAAGCAUCUACUAUAUUCAAAGCAUUCCACUUCCUAAGAGACUAGGACAUUAUGGGCUGAGAUUACCAGGAAAAACUUCUUUGAAGGCCUCCAGAAUGCUGUUAAGUAGAACCAGUAGAAGAGGACACACCAGGAAGACUUAAAAAAAGGCAACGAGGAACCACUGAUUACCACGAUCAGAUUGAUAAUUAAGAAAUUAAAUGGUAAUUAAGAAAAAUCAUUCUGACAUCAGUGUGGAAGAUGGAUGCAAAGAGAAUUCGAAGGGACCAAACCUAGAAUCUAAUGAACUAAAACAGAUGAUGAGCUGUGGGACCAGAACAGAGGAAACGUGUAUGGGAGACACAAGAAGCAGGCAGUGUGUAACAUGUACCAAGCUCAUCCCAACGACAAGUGGGAAUUCAAAAGCCAGCUGGAACUAUAAAUGCCGAACCUCUAAAAGGAACUGAGGCAUGAAGGUCCUCCACCAUGAUCAGCUCUUCUUCACAUUCUGGCAGAGGGAAAUACCAACCAAGGCCUUUGGAGAUUGAAUGGUCAAUCUUGAAAUAAUCAAAGCCUAGCUGCUUGGAACAAGGGAGCGAAACUUUUCCUAAUGCCAUUAACAUUUCCCUCCAUCCAAAUAUGAAAAAUGGGCCCAUUUAUUAUUUAUCAUCUUUCUAUCUGAUAUUUCACCUGCUGCCAACACAGCUAGAUCCAGCCAAGCUCCCCCCAUGGCAGACCCAGAGGCAGAUGAUCCCAGCAAAGCAGAAUCAUCACACCCAGGGAACCAGAUGGGUGACCUUUCUCUCUCCUGCUCUCCAGACUUGAGAACAGACAGUCAAAAUCUCUAGGUGGCUCAGAUCUUUGCUUCUAUAAAUUAAAAUGUAUAUUUUCCAACCGAUGAUGGUCUGUUUCUCAAAAACAUCGAUCUCAUGUUCGUCAAACACCAUCUUUCAUGCAUUAUGCCAGAGCAGCCAGUUUUUCUCUUUUCUGAAAUCCCUAACAUGAUGCCCCCUCCCUCUUUGCCGACCUCCACUCAAAAUAACAUGGUGUGAACUCUUUCCAUUGCUUUUUUUUUCUUCUCGUGUAUAGCCAUGUGUUUGAAGUUAAGAUAUUGUCACAUCUCACAUUUUAAAUAUCAUGAGGAU
rnacentral:lncRNA from 1 species